CCUAACCCAGAGGCAUUGCAGGUGUGGCUACUGUGCCACAUGUGCGUCAAUAGGUGGCAGAUGGGAGAGAGGCUAUGUCUAUGCUCAGUGUUUUGACCUGCAAACACUGACCUAUGAAUGAUUAGCAGCCUACAAU